rnacentral:lncRNA from 1 species
CCAAAUCUUCACUCAAUCAGAACACCAAUUUAGCUUUUGCACUAGGAAUCACAAAUUCAAAUUCAAGUGAUUAAAGCCAUGAAAUCUGCAGUAAAACUUUCCACCAAAGUUCAUUAAACAACACUGAAACAACCAGCAAAAUAUCAACAACUUCAAAAUUCGCACCGAAACAGCCAAACUGCACCAAUUCUAGAAUUGGAGUCAAAUUAUCAAACAGAUGGUAUACUAAAAAUAAAAAUCUGCACCAAUUCUAAAUCACCAAUGUUGCCUCUGCUUUGGUUCAAAAUAAGAUCAAAUUAAUGCACCAAACAAUUCUUUCCACCACGAACACUAAAAUCUCCCUAAACAAUACUUGUUCCAACUUGAAUUUGUAGCUGCUUCGCUUGGAAAAAUCUUAGGUCACGAACAACACUGCUUCCAACAAUUCCACUAAAUGGAUUUAUGCUGCUUCAGUGAAGAACAACGAAACAGUUCCGAUUAGCACUUUUCCAAUGCGAUUCUAGAUCCAGUGGGGAUGUAAACUUAUGUUUCCGCUGGAAACCACAACAUCUCUGUUUCGCAAUCACUACUCAGUGUUCUCAGAUCACAGGAUUUAAAAAUCGAUUCAGAGAAUGAAGAAUAAUAAGAUUAUAAAUGCAUCGAAAACUCACCUGAAAUGCCACUUCUGUUCACCAAUUUAGGUUACCGGAAACGUAAAAACCUUCAUCCACUGAUUCUGUUCACCGGAAGCCGCAAAACCUCCUUACACCAAUUUCGUUCUCCAAAAACUACAAAACACCUCCGUUCGAGAUUCCUCUAACACCGCACCGCUUCAAUUAGAUUUCACACCGAACAAUUUUUUCGUCAAAAUUUUGUUUCUCAGUUUCGCACCAAACUCAGCUCACAUGUUUUCAAAAUCACAUUAAGAAUGAAGAACAAGAUGAACAAAUUGAAAACGCAUAUGAACGUGAACGAGCAACAAUUUUCGUGAAAUUUUGACAAUAGAAACAGAAUCAGAACUGCUAUUUGCACCACAGAUCCAAUGAGAUCUCACAAACAGAUCCAGAUUACUCUUCACAUCUUGAAAUUUCUUUUUAAACCACGAACAAUUUUUGGAAAAAAUUUAGAGAAUUUUCGAAAAUGAAUUUUGAGAGAAUGAUAAUGGAACCCUAACUCAAAGAAAAUUGCUAAUGAUCUAGUAGCAAUUUAUGAACUCAAAAACGAAAAUCAAAAGCACUCAAGAGCUCUAAUCUAUGAAGAAAUUUGAAAAAAAAUCAAAAAGUUUAACCAAUGAAUUUUGUGACAAUUUUUGGACUAAACAUGACUCCGGACAAAACAUUUAUGUCAAAAUGACUCAAAUAUAAGAAAAUUUCACCAAACAAAUUUGAAGAAAACUCAAAAAGUUCAAAAGCACACAUGAACAUGAACACAAGAACACCUAAAAAUAUAUACAUGAAGUUUCAAGUAAGAACAACUAAUUUGAACGGAACAAAAACACAAAAUCAUGAAAAACAAAAUAUGAAAACAACGCGAAAUUAUGAAAAAAAGUAGAAGAAAAUCUUAC